CCUACGGGCGGCAGCAGUGGGGAAUAUUGCACAAUGGGCGCAAGCCUGAUGCAGCCAUGCCGCGUGUGUGAAGAAGGCCUUCGGGUUGUAAAGCACUUUCAGCGGGGAGGAAGGCGUUAAGGUUAAUAACAUUGUCGAUUGACGUUACCCGCAGAAGAAGCACCGGCUAACUCCGUGCCAGCAGCCGCGGUAAUACGGAGGGUGCAAGCGUUAAUCGGAAUUACUGGGCGUAAAGCGCACGCAGGCGGUCUGUGCAAGUCGGAUGUGAAAUCCCCGGGCUCAACCUGGGAACUGCAUUCGAAACUGGCAGGCUAGAGUCUUGUAGAGGGGGGUAGAAUGCCAGGUGUAGCGGUGAAAUGCGUAGAGAUCUGGAGGAAUACCGGUGGCGAAGGCGGCCCCCUGGACAAAGACUGACGCUCAGGUGCGAAAGCGUGGGGAGCAAACAGGAUUAGAUACCCGUGUAGUC
rnacentral:rRNA from 1 species